rnacentral:lncRNA from 1 species
UGGUGUGAGGUGGAAUUUCAGAGUUGUUUUGAUGUGCAUUUCCCUGAUGAUAAGGAUGUUGAACAUUUUUUCAGGUGCUUGUCAGCCCUUCAGUAUUCUUCACUUGAGAAUUCUUUGUUUAGCUCUGUACCCCAUUUUGUAAUGGGGUUAUUUGAAUUUCUGGAGUCUUCUUGAGCUCUUUGUAUCUAUUGGAUAUUAGUCCUCUAUCAGAUUUAGGAUUGGUAAAAAUCCUUUCCCAAUCUGUUGGUGGCCUUUUUGUCUUAUUGACAGUGUCUUUUGCCUUACAAAAGCUUUGCAAUUUCAUGAGUUCCCAUUUGUCAAUUCUUGAUCUGACAGCACAAGUCAUUGCUCUUCUGUUUAGGAAUUUUUCCCCAGUGCCCAUAUCUUCGAGGCUUUUCUCCACUUUCUAUAAAUUUCAGUGUCUCCGGUUUUAUAUGGAGUUCUUUGAUCUUAGACUUGAGCUUUGUACAAGGACAUAAGAAUGGAUCAACUUGCAUUUUUCUCCAUGAUAACUGCCAGUUGUGCCAGCACCAUUUGUUGAAAAUGCUGGUUUUUUUUUUCCCACUGGAUGGUUUUAGCUCCCUUGUCAAAGAUCAAGUGACCAUAGUUAUGUGGAUUCAUUUCUCAGUCUUCAAUUCUAUUCCAUUGAUCUACCUUUAUUUCGCUGUACCAGUACCAUGCAGUUUUUAUCACAAUUGCUCUGUAGUAUAGUUUGAGGUCAGGCAUGGUGAUUUCCCCAGAGAUUCUUUUAUUGCUGAGAAUAGUUUUUGCUAUCUGAGGUUUUUUAUUAUUCCACAUGAAUUUGCAAAUUGCCCUUUCUAACUCCGUGAAGAAUUGAGUUGGAAUUUCAAUGGGGAUUGCUUUGAAUCUGUAGAUUGCUUUUGGCAAGAUAGCCAUUUUGACUAUAUUAAUCCUGUCAAUCCAUGAGCAUGUGAGAUCUUUCCAUCUUCUGAGAUCUUCUUCAAUUUUUUUCUUCAGAGACUUGAAGUUCUUAUCAUACAGAUCUUUCACUUCCUUAGUUAGAGUCACACCAAGGUAUUUUAUAUUAUUUGUGACUAUUGAGAAGGGUGUUGUUUCCCUAAUUUCUUUCUCAGACUAUGUAUCCUUUGUGUAGAGAAAGGCCAUUGACUUGUUUGAGUUAAUUUUAUAUCCGGCUACUUCAUUGAAGCUGUUUAUCAGGUUUAGGAGUUCUCUGGUGGAAAUUUUAGGGUCACUUAUAUAUACUAUUAUAUCAUCUGCAAAUAGUGAUAAUUUUGACUUAUUCCUUUCCAAUUUGUAUCCCCCUGAUCUCCUUUUGUUGUCGAAUUGCUCUGGCUAUGAAUUCAAGUAUUAUAUUGAAUAGGUAGAGAGAAAGUGGCUGCCCUGCAUUCUUAACACUGUUAAAUAUUAGAUCGUUAAAAGUGACAUAAGGUCACAGUUAUGUUUGGUGCUAUUUGUAAUAAAUUCUUCCUAUGAUAAAUGCCUAGCUAAGUAUAAAUUUAAUACUAAUGAACUUCAGUUAGAGGCAAAUGACACCAUCUAUUGAAAUUAAACUUCUACAGGCCAGUUUCUGCAACUCACACAUCAAUAUGCUGAACUCACCAUUCUAAACUAUGUAAGAGGUAUUUACAUUUUACUUAAGAUGACAAAGUACCAUUGACAUUUAAAUAUAAAAUUGGUCGAGUUAAGAUAUACCAAGCCUACUGACAGUAAUCUAAGCCCUGUAGUCUUUGGAGAACAUAUAAAAUGUCUUAGUCAUUGUUUUUUUGUUUGUUGUUGUUGUUGUUGUUUUCUUUGAAGAGACACCAUGACCACAGCAAGUCUUAAUCUCUUCAUCAUUUAAUGGGGUUGGCUCAUGGUUUCAAUGUUUAACCCAUUAUCAUUAUGACAGGGAGCAUAGUGACAGGCAUGUCAGGCAUGGUGGUAGAGAAGUUGUUGAGCGUAUCCUGAUACAUGGGCAGAGAGAAAGACACUGGGGUUGGCAUAGGGUUUGAAAUCUCAAAGCCCAUCUCCAGUGACACAGUCCUUCCAUAAGGCCAAAUUUCCUAAUCCUCCUAAACCUUUCAAAUAGUAACACUUUAUGGUGACUAAGCAUUCAAAUAUAUGAUAGUUUUUUGGGGGGCCAUUCUUACUUAAACCAUUGCAUUCUGUUCUCUACCUCCCACAGGCUUUUAGCCAUAUAGUAAUGCAAACAUGCAUUUAGUCCAACUUUAGAAGUCCUAAGAUUGCUGACAAGUUCAAAGUCCAAAGUAUCUUCUGAGAAUCCAGCCAAGUUCUCGUUGACAUGGUUGGAACUUGAGCCGCUUGUGUAUCUUUGUAUCGGCUUCUGUUGUUGAUAGUGUCCUUCAUUGCUUAAGCUUUUCUUUAAUUUCUUUUUCCUUUAAACAUUUUUUCUCCUUGAGUACCACACAUAGUUCCAUUAGACUUCUCCUCAUUCCUUAUCUUUUCAACCUCUACAUUUUGUAUUUCUCUAUCUUAUUCCCUUUCUCACAGAUCUAAAUAAGAAUGAUUGCCAAUAACCACAUGACAUAGUCAAUAUUAGGCUGGCUUGAAAUCUUCUCUACCAAUGCCAUUAAUCCACAGCUCUUCAGUUUAGUCUCAGGCAGAAUUUGGGGAACAAAGACAGAAGGCAGACACUUUCUUUGCCAAAUGCCAUGAGAACAAUUGGCUACUGACUAAUAUACUUCCUCUCUAAAACAUCUUAAGUUUUCUCCUAUCAUGUACAUGGUCCAAAUCACACUUAGCGUUGUCUUCGGUGCUCCUACAAGGAUGUCCCAUUAAGUCCCACUUUAAUCAUCUAACCACUAUUCUAGGCUAAAGUCCCAAUUUUUCCAUAUUCCCUCAGCAAACAAUAUGGUCAGGCCUGUGACAGGAAUACCCUGCUCCUUGUUACCAACUUCUGCCUUAGUCACAGUUCUAUUGCUGUGAAGAAAAAUCCUUGACCACUAUGACUCUUAAAAGAUAAAGCUUAUUUACAGUUUCAGUGGCUUAGUACAUUAUCAUUAUGGUGGAAAACAGGGUGGCUAACAUGGUACUGGAGGGGUUCUUGAGAGCUACAUCCUGAUCUGCAAGCAGAGAGAAAGACACUGAAAUUGGCUUGGACUUUUGAAAUCUCAAAGCUUACCCCUCAGUGACACAAUUCCUUCAACAAAGCUACUGUAUGGUCCUUUCAAAGGGCAGCAUUCUCUGGUGGCUAAGCAUUCAAAUGUAUAUGCCUAUAGGGGUCAUUCUUAUUGAAAUCACCACAGACACUAUUAAGAAAAAAAAUUUUAACAUAUUAUUAAAUAUCAUUAAGAUUCAAAUAAGAGACUUUAGUGGAUACAGGUUAUCUUUAAGAGUAUUUUCCCCAACUUCAUUGGGAAAAAAAAAACCCUAAACUUUCAUUUUCAAGUGAUUAUCAAUUGGAGAUACCUUCCAAUUAGGGAUGGUGGUAUGUGUCCAUUUCUUUCAACUCUAGGACCUUAACUAUUGUAGACAUAUGCAAACUUUGUGAACACCAUGAAGGACAUUGGUUCACUAGCAUGGGAUAUUAACAACCAGGCCUUUAUGUUAUUGGCAUUAUUGAGGGAUCCAUGGCUCUAGCCGCAUAUGUAGCAGAGGAUGGCCUUGUCAGGCAUCAAUAGGAGGAGAGGCCUUUGGUCCUGGGAAGGCUCUAUGCCCCAGUGUAGGGGAAUUCAAGGGCAGUGAAGCGGGAAUGGGUGGGGGAACACGCUCAUAGAAGCAGGGGGAGGAAUGAUAGGGUUGGGUGUUUCCGGGGUGCAGGAGAGGGGAUAACAUUUGAAAUAUAAAUAAAAUAUCCAAUAAAAAAGUCAAAACAUAUAUUUAGUAUAUCUCCUCUCACAGGCUGCCACAUUGACUAUUUCUAUCUUACAAUUAUUGUUAUAAAUUAACAUAUACUACUUCAAGUGGUCUCUAAGUUCUUGACAUGGAAAAUAACUAUGUACUAAGAAAUCUACCUUCAGUUCUUAGCACAGGAACAUAAAAGAGGGUAUGUGACAAUAAAUAUUCAAUGACC